AACGGCAACGGCUGCAUAUAUUUUUUUUCUUUUACUGAUGAAGAGUAUGUCAACAUACAUACACGUAUACGCAAAAGGACACCCUCAGCGCUUCUGCUUCACCUGUCUCUGGCUCAAUCUCGGCGAACCUCCGCUGCACCCGCACGUGCACGUACCUAUCAUACGGGAUUCCCUCUGUUGCUAACAGAGCCACCGAAAGAGGGAGAGGGAGAGAGUGCUAUCUAAACACGCACGCAAAGGCACCGGCGGCAUCCGCGCUAUUCGUACUAGCCCUCUCUGCCCUCCUCUGUGCCUUCUGCUGUGUGUGUGUGUGUGUUGGCCUGGGCACCCUUUUACUCGGUCUCUCGUUCUCUCUUAUUUGUAGUUAUCGCCGCUCUCUUGCCUUCUCGGUAUCGCUGUUCCACCAUGCUCCGUGGUCUGCGCAAUCGCAUGAAGCGAGAGAAUGAGCCUCGCGUGCUGAUUCUCGGAUUGGAUAACGCGGGCAAGACGACGAUUCUGAACAAGCUAGGCGUGGCUGAGGAGCACCCCGUAGAGGCACCUGAGGGACCAACGCAGGGCUUCAACGUCAUGAAUGUGAACCGCGACGGCAAGCGCGCCAAGCUCUGCGACUUGGGAGGUCAGCGUGCCCUGCGCGAGUUCUGGGAGGACUACUACGCCAACACAGACUGCAUCAUGUACGUCGUCGACUCCUCCGACCAGCGUCGCCUCCACGAGGCGCACGAGGCGUUUGUCGAUGUCGUAAAAAGCGUGCCGAAGGUGCCUGUUCUGGUGCUCGCAAACAAGCAGGACUUGGCUACCGCGAAAGACCCGCAGACGGUGGCCGAAGCGCUCGAGUUGAGCGACUACCGUGACCGCUCUUGGCACAUUCAAGGGUGUAGUGCGAAGUCUGGCGAUGGUCUCGAGGAGGGCGUCGCAUGGAUCUUCGAUGCGUGCAAUGUAAAGUAGAACUUGAAAACUGGAAGAAAAAGCAGCACAGCCGCGGUUGCAGAGGUUGUCUUUUGACUAUGUCAGUGUGCUUGUGUGCCGGGUGUUCAUGCACGGCAGUGGUGAACGUACAUACGUGCAGCAGCACGAUCGCUGCAGUGAAUCGACGGGUGUGCGAAACUGCGUGGACUGCCUUAUAGUAUUCUCUCUCAUACGCUCUGGUAUGUGUGUUUUUUAUUAUGUCUCGUCGCUCUUGUCAUCUCUAUCCGGCCACGUCUGCUACUAGUGCCAGUGAGCCUGCUUGUCUGCUAGUUGGCUGCCGCGUGCGGUGUGUGUGUGUGAGUGCGUGACGGUCUACCCAUCGGCGCGUGAUUGAGUCUGUAAGUGUUAUGUGUGUGUCUGUUUAUGUGUGUGCGUGUGGAUGUGUAAGCGGCGCUGUACUCCAAUCACAUGGACACG
rnacentral:misc_RNA from 1 species